GCAGAAGACACUCAUUGUCAUCGUCGUGGUCGCCGCCUGUCUCGGAGCCAUCUCUGCACAGGUGGUAUGUCCCGAGGAGUGCCUAGGGCUGGCAGGAGGGCCUCCGGUUGCAGAAGACAAACUGCAGUCUGGACGCGAUGGGAGGGACCUGCCCCGUCAAAGUCUACGAGCGCCACAUCCCGCCUCAGCGACCAGAGCAAAUAGCAAGCCGAUACCCCUGGAAAACAACGUUAGCGAAGUGUAUAAUCCAGCGUUUUGGUAUUAUCUGCGUCCAACGCUUCGUCCAUCUAGGGGCUAAACCACGACGCAAGAAGGUGGAUGAGCUCUUACCAACCAACAACCUCACUGACGUACAACGGCUACUGACAAUUCCAG